AGUCGACGAGGUGCUUUGCACCUAGUGGCGAACGGGUGAGUAACACGUAAAAACCUACCUUUUAGUGGGGGAUAACAGUUGGAAACGACUGCUAAUACCGCAUACGACACCAUUAUGGCAUCAGAAGGUGUUAAAAGGCCCGUUUGGGUCGCUAGAAGAUGGGGAUGCGGCGUAUUAGCUAGUAGGUGGGGUAAUUGCCCACCUAGGCAAUGAUACGUAGCCGAACUGAGAGGUUGAUCGGCCACAUUGGGACUGAGAUACGGCCCAGACUCCUACGGGAGGCAGCAGUAGGGAAUUUUUCACAAUGGACGAAAGUCUGAUGAAGCAAUGCCGCGUGAGUGAUGACGGUCUUCGGAUUGUAAAGCUCUGUUGUAAGGGAAGAAUAGGUAAAAGAGGAAAUGCUUUUAUUUUGACGGUACCUUACCAGAGAGCCACGGCUAACUAUGUGCCAGCAGCCGCGGUAAUACAUAGGUGGCAAGCGUUAUCCCGGAUUUAUUGGGCGUACAGGGUGCGUAGGCGGUUCGAUAAGUUUGAGGUUUAAAUCCCGGGGCUCACCCCCGGUUUCGCCUUGAAACUGUCUUACUAAAUACAGGAGAGGUAGAUGGUAUUUCCAUGUGUAUCGGCGAAAUGCGUAGAU
rnacentral:rRNA from 1 species